AUAAUGAAAUUAGUUCCUUUUCCAUCCUUCUUUGUUCUCAUUUAAGUUUUCAAAACUAAACCCUUAUUCAUUCUUUGUUGUGGCUGCAUGUGAGGAAUUGUUGUUUUGAACCUAUGCAUAAAUGUUUGGAGCUGCAAAUUGAGUGAAACAAGGAUUGGAAGACCCUUUAAUGAGUUAGAAGAAUUGGGAGAGCUCAUAGCUAGCCUUUUUGCCUCUUUGGUGGUUAUUGACACUUUAAGUUUGGCUACAAGUUUCGUGAAAUUUGGAUCAGUAUUGAAGCCGGUAGAUGCUUCUGAAGUCAGGGCACUGAUGCUGUCAAAAUUCUGGUUUUGUGACUGCGGGUUUGAGCUUCAAGAGGCACGAACGGAUGUUCGAGAACAUACGGAACAACUCAGUGACGCUAGAAAUAUCAGGUAGCAGGUUGUCAUUCGAGAAGCUGGAACUUGGACGGAUCAACAAGGCUUAUUCAGUGGUUAUUUGUUUUAGACUAAAGGGAGAUUUUGUAUAGGAUUAUGCCAUAUCUACAUGUAUUUAUCAGUUAUCAUGGUUCUGAUGUAAACUUAUUAACGGUUACAUUAUGACAGCUUAUUCAGUUUAAUUAAAUCAUGUAUAUUUGGUAUUUCCUUCA